UACUUAAUAAAAAUGAAAACAAGAUAUUUCAUUAAUGUUUUAUUUUUUAGAGAAUCACUUUAAGCAAUUAAAUAACCAUUUAUCUAAAACACUGGAUAAUUUAUUUCAAAUAUAUUCCAAAUACUUAAACACUGCAUAAAUAUUAAGGUUUAACACACAUCUUUUAAUAAAUUAACCAAAUAUAACUAACAGUUCAGAUAUACUCAAAACACACCACACAAAACUAUCAAGGCUAAUGCUAGAUAUUCCAAAAGUGGUAACAGAAAUGAUUGUGUGCUGUGUAUCUCUAAUUCAAACUUGGACAUGGGCACAAUAAUUUCAUAAAGAUCUCAACAAUGACAGCUUUCAACAUUGAGUAUUUUUUCCAAUUUUACACUAAUUCUUGCAAAGGCAACAUCUGGGGACAACAAUAGAUAUAGACUCACCAAUAUAAUUUGACAGUGGUAAUUUAUCAAUUUACCAAAUAUGCCACUUCCUUUUUUUUUUUGAGACAGAGUUUCGCUCUUGCACCCAGGCUGGAGUGCGAUGGUGCGAUCUCGGCUCACCGCAACCCCUGCCUCCCGGGUUCAAGCGAUUCUCCUGCCUCAGCCUCCCGAGUAGAUGGGAUUACAGACCUGGGCCACCACACCCGGCUAAUUUUGUAUUUUUAGUAGAGAUGGGGUUUCUCCAUGUGGGUCAGGCCGGUCUUCAACUCCUGACCUCAAGUGAUCUGCCUGCCUUGGCCUCCCAAAGUGCUGGGAUUACAGACGUGAGCCACUGGACCCGGCCGCAUUUUUUUUUUUUUUUUUUAAUUGAGACUGAGUCUCACUCUAUUGCCCAGGCUGGAGAAUAGUAGCACAAUCUCGGCUCACUGCAACAUCCCUCUCUCAGGUUCAACCGAUUCUCCUGCCUCAGCCUCCCAAGUAGCUGGGAUUACAGGUGCCCACCACCAUGCCCGGCUAAUUUCUGUAUUUGCAGUAGAGACAGGGUUUCACCAUGUUGGCCAGGCUGGUCUCAAACUCCUGACCUCAAGUGAUUCUCCUGCCUAAGCCUCCCAAACUAAUGGGACUACAGGUGUAAGCCAACACACCUGGUUCAAAUAUGCCACUUUCUUAAAUAUCAAAUUUUUUUCCAAUCUUAUAUUUCUCUAAUUUUAUAGGGGCAGGUGAUAAAAAAAUUUCAAUUUCACUAACUCUGACUACAAAAUUAAACUUUUCCAACAUUUAAGAUCAUUUCAAGGAAAAUAAGAAUAGGCUUUAAUAUUUACAUUAGUGAUUGAUUAAUUGUAGCUGACUGGGGUAUUCAAUUUUAGAAAUUUAAGAUAAUUCCCGCCAGGUGCAGUGGCUCACACCUGCAAUCCCAGCACUUUGGGAGGCCGAGGCAGGCAGAUCACGAGGUCAGGAGUUUGAGACCAGCCUGACCAACAUGGUGAAACCCCGUCUAUACUAUACAAAAAAAUUAGCCAGGUGUGGUGGAAGGCACCUGUAAUCCCAGCUAAUGGAGAGGCUGAGGAAGGAGAAUCACUUGAACCCAGCAGGCAGAGGGUGCAGGGAGUCAUGCCACUGCACUCCAGCCUGGGCGACAGAGCAAGACUCCAUCUCAAAAAAAAAAAAAAAAAGAAAUUUAAGAUAACUCCCUAAGGAUUGUACCUGUACCUUGUGCAUUUCAGUCAUGCCAUUUAAUCAUUAUUCUUCACAUAAAAUUGUUAUAAAGUUAUAUUGUCUAUAUUGACAAUAAAAAACUAUUAAACUGUAGCAACCUUUUUCUAAAUGAGUCAAGACUUCUUAUGAGCUAUGCAAAUUAAUAUUGCUGAUAUUUAAAUAUGAUCUCUUUCAUUACACAUUUGGGCAAAAUUUUUUUAGAGUAAAGGUGAUUAGUCAUAGAACUUUCUUUCUUUUUCUUUCCUUUUUAAUUAAAAAUAGAGAUGCAGUCUCCCUGGUCUCGAUCUCCUGAGCUCAAGCAAUACUCCUACCUUGGCAUCCCAAAGUGUUGGGAUUAAAGGUAUGAGCCACUACACCCAGCCCAUAGACUUUUCAUUUACUAUAUAAAGUCUUUUUCUCCUACAAAAUAUCCAUUCUCCUUCCCCAAAAUAAACAAGGCUCCUUAAAGGCAAUCUUUAUAAUCCAUAGUCAAAUAAAAGUUUUUAUUCACUUAAGCAGGAGGGAAUGAGUUCAGCACAUUAAUUAGUCUGCCCUGCUAUAAGACCUGCCUCUUCCAAAACAGAAUUCCAAUAAGGAAAAUAAGCUAUCCAUGCUGAUUCUACCUUGCUAGCAAAUUGGGGAAGUAACAUGAAGACUCUAAUAGUGGUUUGACUGGUAGAAAAUGAAAGAGCUCUCAGUCCCAAACCAAAUGGUGAUUACAUAAAAAAUUUGGCAUUGUCAAAUCAGGCAGAUACAAUCUAAAGUAAAAAGAGCCAGCAGCGGUGGCUCACCCUGCAAUAGGUAUUCAAAAUCCUCCCUAAGAGAAAAUAAUUGUGCCUCGCUAUCUACCAAAGACAUUGGUUAAAAAAAAGUCUCAGCAGUUACAAUGUACAGUAUCACCUUCCCUUCUGUAACCAAAAUACUUAUUAAAUAUAUGAAUGCUAGUUAUCAGAUUAUUUUAAAAGUUUAUUUUCUUUCUCUAAUAAUAAGGUAAAAUACAUUUUGGAAAUCUGCAUGGAAUGUUCCCAACAAGUUAUUUCAUUUUAGCAGGGUCUAUGACAUACAGCUUUAGUCAUUCUUUCAAUUACUUGGAACCACAGAAUUCUCCAAAAUACAAAAAUUAAAUUUUCAGCUUUUAUAUCAAAUAAUGGUCUCAACCAUUUAAUACAAAGCAACAUACUUUCUCAGGUUUCUGUUAAUAAGGCAAAAUAAAAGUCACUCAGAAAAAAAAGGUUAAAUCAUGAAGAUUUCUCUUUUGUAGGAUAUAAUUCACCCCUGUGGUUUCUCUUCUACCAUUAAUGUCUUAUCUACUCUAAUUCCUUCAAAGUUUCAAGUUCAAUACAGUAUAACAUAUGCAGAGAUUUUAUAGUUUUUAUCAUAGAUUUUUUUUUUCAACAUUGUUUUCAGGAUGUUUUAAACACUUUCACAACUAUUACCUCAGAUUUGUGAUUAUGGCUUAUAGUACGGUCUACUUUCAAAACCAUGAUUUUUGGAUCAUGGCCCAUCCAAGAUUUUACUCUGUUCAGAAAAAGAAAAAAAAUUACAUAUCCAGAGUUUCACAAGCAAUUCAGGGGUUUUUCCCACAGACAUCAAAAACCUUGCAAUAAAGGGGUGAAAUCCAAAAAUUACUUUCGAUUUCAAAGGUUUAAUAUUUUUAAAAAAUUGAGAAAUCUAUUUAAGGUGUUGAAUAAACUUUUUAUGACUUAUCAGGCAAAAUUAAAAUAUUUAUCAUGGGCAGGGCACGGUGGCUUACACCUGUAAUCCCAGCAUUUUGAGAGGUCAAGGCUGGACGACUGCUUGAAGCUAUGAGAUUGGGACUAGCCUGGAAAAUAUAGCGGACCCCACCUCUAUAAAAAAUUAUUAUUUUUUAUUAGCUGGGCAUAGUGCUGUGUGCCUGUAGUCCUAGCUACCAGAGAGGCUGAGGUGGAAAGAUCCUUUUUUGUUGUUGAGACAGGGUCUCACUCUGUCACCCAGACAGGAAUGUAGUACCACAAUCACUGCUUACUGAAGCCUUGACCUCCUGGGUUCAAGUAACCCUCCCGCCUAAGCUUCCCAAGUAGCUGGGACUACUGGUGUGUACCACCAUGCCUGGAUAAUUAAAAAAAAAAAAGAAGUCAUAAAGACAGGUUCUUAUUAUAUUGACCAGGUUGGUCUUGAACUCUUGACCUCAAGUGAUCCUCCUGCCUUGGCCUCCUAAAGUGUUGUGAUUACAGGUGUGAGCCACAGCAUCCAGCCUAAGGAAGAUCCCUUGAGCCUAGGAAUUUGAGGCUGCAGUGAGCUAUGAUUGCAUCACUGUACUCCAGCUUGGGCAAAAGUGAGACCAUGUCUCUAAAAAAUAAUAAUAAAAUAAAAUAAAGUAUUUACAAUGGAAGGAAUCUGUGGUGUUACUUUUAGGUAAUCUCAGAAGAACUUUUCAAACUCAGAUGUAUAUAUGCGGCAACCAAUGUGCAUAUGGAGAUACUGACAUAGAGAGAAAAAUGUUCAAUCUAAUAUUAGCCAGUAAACAUAUGAUGCAUUAACUGGAGGAGUUAAAAGUCCAUACUUGAAGGUACUGUUUAAUUUAUCAGGAUCAAUCAAUCAAGAAAAACACCCACAACAUAAAAACAGGGUGGUAUAUUUUAGUACUACUGAUUUAUAAUAAACAGAUCCUCAGAUUUAGGCAGAUCAUUUUUAAAUGCCAUUAGUGAUCAAUGUAUGCAACACAGUUGCACAUAGCUAUUAACAAGUUAUUUUGACAUGCAUUACAUACAUGUAUUCAAAUUAACUAUAAUUUUUUGUGCUUAUUUCUAGAGCAAAUUAAUUAAAUGGCUUUCACCUUAAAGGCUUAAAAUGUUUUAAAACUUCAAGUCAUUAAAGAUGUACUGACAUUAAAACUAUGUUUGAAGGCUGGGCGCAGUGGCUCAUGCCUGUAAUCCCAGCACUUUGGGAGGCCGAGGCGGG
rnacentral:lncRNA from 1 species